GCCCACCUCAGUCGUGAAAUGAAGUAUCACGUGCUCCGGCAGGAAGCCGCAUUAUGACCUUGGGGAACAGACAGUUUCCUCCGGUUAGUGUUGUGGGUGAAGGUUCCACCUCCUUCCCCAGAAGAACCUGGUAAACAACCUUAGCCCCUCCUCCCACCCCCAGACCUCCUGCAACCAGGACUGUUGCUAGAGCAACUGAUUCUUUCCAUUUCCUGAUAAGCAGGGGACUGGUAUCUGGGCCCCCUGUGGGAUAAGUACCAAUUUGAGUUUGGUUUCUUUUGCGUGCUGUUACAGAGAAAAAAAGAGAAAGAAAGCAAAAGGAAAACAAAACAGGUUUUGACUGCACAGCCCCAUUCACCACGGAAGCUGAUACUCGUGGUUUCUCAGGUAUUCACAUCUUGAUUGCUGCUCAGACCUCACACCCUUCGUGUGGUCCAUGAACGUGCUGAGUACUGCUCCAUUCUGCUUCCUCUCAGCUGCAGGGACACAAGAGAGCUCUGUUAAACAUACCUCUGAUGAAGCCUGCUGUUUAUGUUGGGUGUGAAAGCUCCUCUGAGCACUGAGAUGCUACCUUCUUGGAGCCAGGUUCAGGUCCUGCCAUCAUAUCCAAACUGAGUGAUGUCCAGAGGUGGAAAAACACCAUCCCUUCUAGAGAAAUCUAUGCCAGAAGUCUUCAGCAGAUUUCCCCUUGACCAGGGUAGACACUUCCUUACCUCUCACUGGGCCAGAGCUAAGUCACAUGCCCACUUUAAGUCAUUCGUGAGAAUGGAGACUAGGACUGCUAUGAUCAGAUUCCACUGAUCUGAUAAAACUCUGAAUAAAGAUUUCCAGCAAAGACAAAAGUCACAAUGGUGUGGACGGGGUAUAGCUCGGUGGUAGAGUGCAUGCUUAUCACGCAUGAGGUCCUGGGUUCAAUCCCCAGUAACUCCAUUAAAAAAAAAAAAAAACUUUCUAAAAAAUAAAUAAAAUAAAAUUAUGACAUAUGAGAUAACCACAGGGGAACAAAUAAAGGUCACAAUGGGUGUUAAGCAGCCUAAGUGUUUGCCUUGAGUAGAACUUGGAAGACCAAAAAUGUUUCAAGUAAUUUUCUGUCUUCUUAGAGAUGGAAGCUUAGGGCAGACUACUCAUCUAGUCAUUCACCAUUAAUUCCAUUGAGAAAUAUUUAGCAAUAUCCUAGUGUGUGCCUGGCACUGUGCUAGGCACUGGGGACACAAAGGUGAGCAAAAGAGACAUGAUCCAUGCAUCCUGGGGGUGACUCUAGGAAGGGAGAGAGUUGUUACACAACUAAUCUCAGAAAUAUAUGUGUAACUAUAAAUCGUUAAGUGCUUUUAAGAAAACAAAGGAAACAGUGUGAUCUGAGGUUGUAAAAGGAGGAUCUGAUUUAAAUGGGGUGGAGAAAGUCAAGGUUUGGUCAAGGUUAUCCAAAUAUAGAGCAGAGGCCCUUGUCUAGGAGAGAGAAUGUAAAAGGUGGUCUUUGUUUCCAAUUUUCAGAUGUCCUCUCCUAAUACUGGGAAUCAUUGAUGAUUCCUGGAAGAUGUAUAGGCUAUCGUUCAAGUCAUUUCUCACAGGAGAUCAGAAGCCAAGACUCCAAGGUGGCUUGAAGGACAGAUAGCUGAGCUUCUGUGAACCUCAAGCUGUGAAGAGGAAUUGUACGGGACUAUGGACCGCGUUAUUCUGUACUGAAGGACCCAUUCUUUGGAGGUGUUUUGUUUUUGUUGUUGUGGUUCUAGUGCUUUGUGCCAAAGGAUAGGAUCACAUCCGGUGUCUGGGGCAGCAGUCCCCCUGAAUGUAAUAAACCUCACCACUGUCAAUCAUCCUGGAAUAUGUGAGUACUGAGGCAGGGCUGGACUCAAGGGCAUUUCCACCGCAGCCAGGUCCCUGCAACAUGGGGGCAGAACCUGGGAGCAGGCAGAGAAGUGCCAGGAAAGGACCCAUCUGCAGACCCCAAGAGCAGUGAUACUCUGUUUUCAAGUUCUCUGUUUUGCAGUAUACUUCUCUUAUCACAAGACCUUCAGCAAGUCCUAAGAAACCUUAUUUCCUGAUCUCAGGUACCACUGUAUGGAACUGGAGAUAGAACCAAUGUCCAAGUUGGGCAAAACAGUACAGGGGAGAGCAGGAGUUGUCUUGAGACAAACAUGCAUAACCAUGGAAGGAGAAAGUAAUAGUUUGGAUCCCUGUUGCAGACUGUGAUGACAAGCAACUGCCAGAACUGGUCUGCGGAGCAUGUAAACACUUUUUACGGAUUUCCCAGAAAUACCUGGAAAGAGGAGCCUGGUAAUAAACAGUGCUUCUGCAAUUAAAAAGAAGAAGCUGAGACUACAGUGAUUCGGGCAUUAAAGGGUUAUGUGAA